rnacentral:rRNA from 1 species
UACGAAGGGGGCUAGCGUUGUUCGGAUUUACUGGGCGUAAAGCGCACGUAGGCGGUUUGUUAAGUGAGAGGUGAAAUCCCAGAGCUCAACUCUGGAACUGCCUUUCAUACUGGCAAGCUAGAGUCCGGAAGAGGUAAGUGGAACUCCGUAGUGUAGAGGUGGAAUUCGUAGAUAUUAGGAAGAACACCAGUGGCGAAGGCGGCUUACUGGUCCGGAACUGACGCUGAGGUGCGAAAGCGUGGGGAGCAAACAGG